CUUGGAGCUUGGUGUCAAGCAGGGCAGCCUUAUCUGCAAGUUGGAAAUCCGAGGCCCAGAGGCCAGGAGAGAGGGCGGCAGGGAUCAGAGGCCAGGCCUCCCAGGCUCCUGGAGCCCCUCAGAGGUCAGGGCGGUAAGGAACAAUGAGGCUCCCAUUCUGGAGGAGGAAGGAAAUCCCGUUGCCACCUAAUCUCUGCUCCUCUGCCUCCUCCCUGUUCCCAGAGCCUUUUCUCUAGAGAAGACUUCCAAGGCGUCUUUUGUAAGUACGAUGAUCUACUUUCACUAGGAAGAAGACAGACUCCCUUCCUGCCUCUUGCGCAGCAGUUCGUGUUUUUAUGAUCUUACCCCUACUUGGGAUGCUUAGAUGAUGGAAAACGCGUCUCUGGCCAAAGUUCUCCACCCUCCCAGUUUGGUCUCCUGGGAAAAGAGGUUUCAGCUGAUAAUUCGCUCGACAGAAUAACACCCGGAGGAGGUGCUUAGAUUGACCAGUCUCGGGGCAUUCUAGUCUAGCCUGGUGCGGCGGCAUGCACGCUGGCAGGCAGCCCUGGAGGAAGGAGCCUGCUUAUUCGCUUGGCGUGCUAGACUGCAGAGGUUGUAGCCGUUUAGAUCUUCAGUUUCUCUGUCUUGGCUACUCACAAUUUCAGGUGCUGAGGGCCAGCCGCCAUCAGCUUGAGGGGGUGAAUCCGGCAAAUGACAUGAAGGUUCUUCACGGCAGAAUCACUGCAGGGAAGCUUCAAAGGACUCCAUCUGCAGAUGUUCUGAAAAUCUCUGAGUCUAGAAAUUGAUUAUUCAACCAGGAUACCUAACUCAAGAAACUCUGAAGACUGAGGCAUUUUGUCAGCUUC
rnacentral:lncRNA from 1 species